UCGCCUACGGGGGGCAGCAGUGAGGAAUAUUGGUCAAUGGCCGGAAGGCUGAACCAGCCAAGCCGCGUGAAGGACGAAGGUGCCAAGCAUUGUAAACUUCUUUUGUCAAGGGACAAAAUCAGGCUCGAGAGCCUGACCGAGGGUACUUGAAGAAAAAGCAUCGGCUAACUCCGUGCCAGCAGCCGCGGUAAUACGGAGGAUGCGAGCGUUAUCCGGAUUUACUGGGUGUAAAGGGUGCGUAGGUGGCAGGGCAAGUCAGAUGUGAAAGCCCGGGGCUCAACCCCGGUACUGCAUUUGAAACUGUC
rnacentral:rRNA from 1 species